CACAUCAUGCAUUUGAUAUAAUCCAUCAUUUCCCUCUCCACAAAUUAGAACAAGAUUUCUAUCUACAAGAUCUUGUAAAUUUCAUUCAUUGCUACAUCUUU